AGUGAACGCUGGCGGCGUGCCUAAUACAUGCAAGUCGAACGAAGUGGCGCACGGGUGUGUAAUAUAUAUUUAAUCUCCCCUACACAGACGAACAACAGUUGGAAACGACUGCUAAUACCUCAUAGUGCAGGAUGAGACUAUAACGUAUCAGCUAGUUGGUAAGGUAAUGGCUGAUCAAGGCGAUGCCGCGCAACUGGUCCGAGAGGAUGAUCAGUCACAUUGGAAGUGAGGCACGGUCCAGACACCUUCGGGAAGCAGCAGUAAGGUAUAGUACGCAAUGGGGGUAACCCAGACAGGGCAUCGGCGCGUGGAGGAUGACACCUUGCGGAGAAUAAACUCCUUUUAUCAGGAAAGCGGUACCUGAGGAAUAAGCACCGGCUAACUCCGUGCCAGCAGCCGCGGUAAUAC
rnacentral:rRNA from 1 species